rnacentral:rRNA from 1 species
AAUGAACGCUGGCGGCGUGCCUAACACAUGCAAGUCGCACGAGAAAGUCUGCCUUCGGGCGGGCGAGUAAAGUGGCGCACGGGUGAGUAACGCGUAGGUAAUCUACCCCCGGAACCGGGAUAACAGUGCGAAAGUGCUGCUAAUACCGGAUACGAUCUUUUGGCGGGAGCUGAAAGGUGAAAGUCGGCCUAUCGCAGAAGCCGGUGCGUGGGGACGAGCCUGCGUCCUAUCAGCUAGUUGGCAGGGUAACGGCCUACCAAGGCGACGACGGGUAGCUGGUCUGAGAGGAUGAUCAGCCACACUGGCACUGAAACACGGGCCAGACUCCUACGGGAGGCAGCAGUGAGGAAUUUUGCGCAAUGGGAGCAAUCCUGACGCAGCAACGCCGCGUGGGUGAUGAAGGCCUUCGGGUCGUAAAGCCCUGUCAGGUGGGAAGAAUGUCCCGGGACUGAACAGGUUUCGGGAGUGACGGUACCACCAGAGGAAGCACCGGCUAACUCCGUGCCAGCCGCCGCGGUAAUAC